AGGACGAACGCUGGCGGCGUGCUUAACACAUGCAAGUCGAACGAUGAUGCUGCAACUUGUUGUGGUGGAUUAGUGGCGAACGGGUGAGUAACACGUGAGUAACCUGCCUUUCACUCUGGGAUAAGCCUUGGAAACGAGGUCUAAUACUGGAUAUGACCCCUUGUCGCAUGGUGGGGGUGGAAAGCCUUUCGGGGUGGUGGAUGAUGGACUCGCGGACUAUCAGCUUGUUGGUGGGGUUGUGGCCUACCAAGGCGUUGACGGUUAGCCGG
rnacentral:rRNA from 1 species